GCCAGACUCUCUGUACGUCAUUAGUUGAUAAGGUCAAUAGGAUACUGAAGGUGUGGUCAACCUGCAGAUUGCAAUUUAGAUUAUUCGUCCAUAGAGGGCAGUCUCGCCUCAGUAAACCUUCCUAUCCAGGAAAGAGUUAACUUUUCCUGAUGACGAUUUUGACGUCAUUUGGCUUAUCUAAAAUGACUACCAUAACUUAAGUUUGCUUCAAUCUUUGUGGCAACGACUUUGAUCGUAAUUUCUAAAAUUGACAGUUCUAAACUCAAUUUCACCCCUUACUUACAAUGGGACCUUGUAAAAUUAAUUACUUAGUCUUCUGUCACUAGUGUCUGUGUUUAAAAUUAUUUCUAUUCCAUUAACAUUUAAACAGAGCAUUCCAUCCCCCUGCUUCAUUGCUUAUCACUUGGCUUGUUUACAUAAUGCAUUCCUUAGCUCAGGCUAGUGGCUAGUUACAGAAAGGAAAUUUUGUGUCUGUCUUGCCUGAAAUCCAAAAUGGAGUCUGCUCUGUUCUGAG